rnacentral:rRNA from 1 species
UUGCUACUUUGCUGACGAGCGGCGGACGGGUGAGUAAUGCUUGGGAACAUGCCUUGAGGUGGGGGACAACAGUUGGAAACGACUGCUAAUACCGCAUAAUGUCUACGGACCAAAGGGGGCUUCNGCUCUCGCCUUUANAUUGGCCCAAGUGGGAUUAGCUAGUUGGUGAGGUAAUGGCUCACCAAGGCGACNAUCCCUAGCUGGUUUGAGAGGAUGAUCAGCCACNCUGGGACUGAGACACGGCCCAGACUCCUACGGGAGGCAGCAGUGGGGAAUAUUGCACAAUGGGCGCAAGCCUGAUGCAGCCAUGCCGCGUGUGUGAAGAAGGCCUUCGGGUUGUAAAGCACUUUCAGUCAGGAGGAAAGGUUAGUAGUUAAUACCUGCUANCUGUGACGUUACUGACAGAAGAAGCACCGGCUAACUCCGUGCCANCAGCCGCGGUAAUACGGAGGGUGCGAGCGUUAUCCGGAAUUACUAGGCGUAAAGCGUACGCAGGCGGUUUGUUAAGCGAGAUGUGAAAGCCCCGGGCUCAACCUGGGAACUGCAUUUCGAACUGGCAAACUAGAGUGUGAUAGAGGG